rnacentral:tRNA from 1 species
GAGGGUAUAGCUCAGUGGUAGAGUACAUGCUUAGCAUGGACAAGGUCCUGGGUUCGAUCCCCAGUACUGCCA